AGCAGCCGCCACGGGAACACGGAGGAUCCAAGCGUUAUCCGGAAUCAUUGGGUUUAAAGGGUCCGUAGGCGGUCUUGUAAGUCAGUGGUGAAAGCCCAUCGCUCAACGGUGGAACGGCCAUUGAUACUGCAGGACUUGAAUUAUUGGGAAGUAACUAGAAUAUGUAGUGUAGCGGUGAAAUGCUUAGAGAUUACAUGGAAUACCAAUUGCGAAGGCAGGUUACUACCAAUUGAUUGACGCUGAUGGACGAAAGCGUGGGUAGCGAACAGGAUUAGAUACCCCUGUAGUCCCUGUCUCUUAUAC
rnacentral:rRNA from 1 species